rnacentral:lncRNA from 1 species
AUCAUUUCCCUUCCACCUUCCUCCUCGCCGCUUCCUCUCCCUCCACCGCGCAGCUCCAGCCGCCUUGCCGCCGCCGCAUCCCCUUCCAAGUUCAGGCUGUGGGUGGAACCUGUUGCUUUAGCUCACGUUUCCCUUCCCCUCCGGGCUGCACGCUGAGGAUGACCUCAGCGAGGUGUGUGUAAGGGGAAUGGAGGGUUUGGCUUCCUUGAGACAGAGGAUCUUGCUCGCCUCAAAGAGGAGGGCAGUUUGCCCCCUUCCUCCUGACUCCAAGACAAAAGAGAGAAGACUGAAGAGUGGUAAAGCUUGUGGUGGAUCCAGGGCCUCUCAGAGUUCACCUGAGCUUUCCCAAGUCUGGUUUGUUCUCUCUACCCUGCUGCUACUACUGCAAGUGACUUUCACAAGAUGCUUCUGAGCAUAGCAUUGCUCUGCUGUGACCACUGCAGAUGUCAAGAGAAUUUCUGCCUUUUGGAACUUGGACAAUAUUGGCCACCUACCCAGAGAGAGGAGAAGGAUAAUCCAGACAUAAAGGUAGCUCCCACACAUCCUUUGGAUCUCUGAUAAAGAGUCAUAUACUUAAAGAGCCAUCCUCACAUUCCUGCCCAGACUGUGAGCUGCAUGAGAGAGGCCAUGUCUCAUUUUGUUCCAUUACAUCUCCAGCACUUAAGAGUGCUGGACACAUAACGAGUGUCUGACACAUAACGAGUGCUGAAUAAAUGUUUGUUAACUGAUAAAAUG